rnacentral:lncRNA from 1 species
CGGGUGAGAAUGGAAUCUGUGUGUGUGUGUGGCCUAUUAGGGGUCGAGAGAUAAGCGGUUUAUUGGUGAGCACCGAUACUGGUGAAGCGUGAAAACGGUAUCUGUGUGUGUGUGUGGCCUAUUAGGGGUUGGGAGAUAGGUAGUUUAUUGGUGAUCGCUGAUAUUGGUGACGGGAGAGAGUAUUUGUAUUGUACUUAAUUGUAUAUACUCACUCCUUAUUAUUUACAGAUGAAGUAGAGAUGGAGUCGGGAUCGGAGUUACUGAUUUCUGAGCCUAGCGAAUAGAGGAACAAGGUAAUAAUGCUUUCGUUAUUUGGCAUGAUUGAGUGUGUAAUAACUAGUUGUAGGGUAGAUAGUGUGUCUGCUGGGAGUCUGUGAGAUUAUUCUUCACUGUGAUAUUACAUGUAGGGUUGCAGGUUUAUUGUGAUUUUAAAUAAUAGAUUACAGUAAUGUUUCUAUGUUUGUGGUGAAUUUAGAAUGACGUGUGCAUAUGUAACCAUAGAAUUAUUUUUGCUUACACCAUUAAAAAAAAAAAAACGGGACGUUACAGUUUAUCAUUUCUGUAGUGAAUUAUAUAACUUAAUCGUUCUUGAUUAUAAUUUAAUUACAUGCAACGAGAGUUCUGAUUUAAAAAAAUAAAAACUCGCGAUGAGGGUUGAAAAAUCCACAACUUUAGGUUUGAAAAUUC